AACGCACCUUGCGCCCUGUGGUAUUCCGCAGGGCAUGCCCGUUUGAGUGUCAUUAAAUCAUCAACUCUAAACACCUUGUGUGUCUAGUGCUUGGUCUUGAGGGUCUUGCAGGCGCUUCGACGUCUGCUCCCUUUAAAUCCAUUAGCGAGACUUCCCUUUGCUGACCGUCUCUUGGCGUGAUAGUUAUCUGCGUCAACCCGACCGGUUCUCGUUGGGCUUGCUUCUAAUCGUCUUCGGACAGUCGAUUUGGGUGCAUAUAUGCGCUCCAUCUCAAACCUUUUUGACCUCAAAUCGGGUAGGACUACCCGCUGAACUUAA
rnacentral:misc_RNA from 1 species